rnacentral:rRNA from 1 species
AUUGAACGCUGGCGGCAUGCUUUACACAUGCAAGUCGAACGGUAACAGGUUAAGCUGACGAGUGGCGAACGGGUGAGUAAUGCAUGGGAACGUGCCCGGUCGUGGGGGAUAACGCAGCGAAAGCUGCGCUAAUACCGCAUACGAUCUGAGGAUGAAAGCGGGGGACCGUAAGGCCUCGCGCGAUCGGAGCGGCCGAUGUCAGAUUAGGUAGUUGGUGGGGUAAAGGCUCACCAAGCCAACGAUCUGUAGCUGGUCUGAGAGGACGACCAGCCACACUGGGACUGAGACACGGCCCAGACUCCUACGGGAGGCAGCAGUGGGGAAUUUUGGACAAUGGGCGAAAGCCUGAUUCAGCAAUGCCGCGUGCAGGAAGAAGGCCUUCGGGUUGUAAACUGCUUUUGUACGGAGCGAAAAGGUCUCCUCUAAUACAGGGGGCUCAUGACGGUACCGUAAGAAUAAGCACCGGCUAACUGCGUGCCAGCAGCCGCCGUAA